rnacentral:rRNA from 1 species
GACGAACGCUGGCGGCGUGCUUAACACAUGCAAGUCGAACGGAAAGGCCCUGCUUGCAGGGUGCUCGAGUGGCGAACGGGUGAGUAACACGUGGGUGAUCUGCCCCUUACUUUGGGAUAAGCCUGGGAAACUGGGUCUAAUACUGGAUAGGACCAUGCUGUAGGUGGUGUGGUGGAAAGAUUAGUUUCGGUAAGGGAUGAGCUCGCGGCCUAUCAGCUUGUUGGUGGGGUAAUGGCCUACCAAGGCGUCGACGGGUAGCCGGCCUGAGAGGGUGGAAGGCAACGUUGGGACUGAGAUACGGCGCAGACGCCUACGGGAGGCAGCAGUGGGGAAUAGUGCGCAAUGGGCGCAAGCCGGAUGCAGCGACGCCGCGUGGGGGAUGACGGCCUUCGGGUUGUAAACUCCUUUCAGCCAUGACGAAGCCCUUGUGGUGACGGUAGUGGUAGAAGAAGCACCGGCUAACUACGUG